CACGUAGGGCGCAAGCGUUGUCCGGAAUUAUUGGGCGUAAAGAGCUCGUAGGCGGUCUGUUGCGUCCGCUGUGAAAACUCGGGGCUUAACCCCGAGCCUGCAGUGGAUACGGGCAGACUAGAGGUAGGUAGGGGAGAAUGGAAUUCCCGGUGUAGCGGUGAAAUGCGCAGAUAUCGGGAGGAACACCGGUGGCGAAGGCAGGUCUCUGGGCCAUAACUGACGCUGAGAAGCGAAAGCAUGGGAGCGAACGAGG
rnacentral:rRNA from 1 species